UACGUAGGGAGCAAGCGUUAUCCGGAUUUACUGGGUGUAAAGGGCGCGUAGGCGGGAUGGCAAGUCAGAUGUGAAAUCCAGGGGCUCAACCCCUGAACUGCAUUUGAAACUGUCGUUCUUGAGUACUGGAGAGGUUGACGGAAUUCCUAGUGUAGCGGUGAAAUGCGUAGAUAUUAGGAGGAACACCAGUGGCGAAGGCGGUCAACUGGACAGCAACUGACGUUGAGGCGCGAAGGCGUGGGGAGCAAACAGG
rnacentral:rRNA from 1 species